rnacentral:rRNA from 1 species
CGAAGGGUGCAAGCGUUACUCGGAAUUACUGGGCGUAAAGCGUGCGUAGGUGGUUCGUUAAGUCUGUCGUGAAAUCCCCGGGCUCAACCUGGGAAUGGCGAUGGAUACUGGCGAGCUAGAGUGAGGUAGAGGAGAGUGGAAUUCCCGGUCGUAGCAGUGAAAUAGCGUAGAGAUCGGGAGGGAACAUCAGUUGCGAAGGCGGCUCUCUGGACCAUCACUGACACUGAGGCACGAAAGCGUGGGGAGCAAACAGGAUUAGAUACCCUGGUAGUCCACGCCCUAAACGAUGCGAACUGGACGUUGGGCUCAAUUAGGAGCUCAGUGUCGAAGCUAACGCGUUAAGUUCGCCGCCUGGGGAGUACGGUCGCAAGACUG